GCCUGGUUUGUUUUGUGACGGUCCCUUUGGUUUUUAACACAAAUUAUCAUAAGCAAAAAAACAAACAAACAAACAAAAAAAACAAAAAAAAACUGACCUCUAGGUGGGCAAGCCACUCUUUUUUUCUUUUCUUUUUUUUUUUAAGUUGUGUAUUCCAUAAUCUCUGAGUAGAGGAAACGGAGCAUUUGUGCCUGCAUGGGGAUGCUGCAGAGAACGGCCGUCAGGACCUGGACUACAGUCCAAACUUCCUUUGGAAAAAGACUGAGAGGAAUUCUUCUGAAGUUCCUUGUUUGACUGUGGCCACUGUCUCCCUGGAGAAUGGCACUCAUUUCAGAAAGAAGAGAGACUUCUAGAUAAAGCAGGUGAUGCUGGCUUCAACCAAAUUCAAAAACAAGCUGGAGAUAUACAAGUUGCUAAACCAUC
rnacentral:lncRNA from 1 species